GCGGGUAUGGCGGAAUUGGCAGACGCGCCAGAUUUAGGUUCUGGUGGGAGACCGUGCAGGUUCAAAUCCUGUUACCCGCA
rnacentral:tRNA from 1 species